UGGAGUCACCAACUUGAAGAGGCCAGAGAAGUGCAAUUUUGAUCUUCUCUUCAUUCUUCAUGCUGCAGUAAAAACAUAAGAUUGUCAGAGGAAGUUCAAAGGGUUUGAUGAAGAGGAAUGGAUAUCUGCAUGUAGCGGGGAACGCCCAAAGACACCUACAGCAUAUGGCAGUCAUGAAGCAACAGCGAGUGCACUAAUGAGACCCAAGUACAAAACAUCUACAGAAGAGGAUACAUGACCAAAUAAAAAUGACACAAGAUCAUGGAAUUAAAAGACUACCAUCAGAGGACAAGUUUAGAAGACUGAAGUCUGUGGAAAAAAAAAAAGACUCCUGACCUGAACAAGACAGGACAAACUCAAACAUUGUGAAAGUGGACAUCGUUUUAAAUGUUUCAAGUACACCACCUGACUGAGGAACUGCUUGAUGGUGACCCUGUCUUAGCAUUUCUCAGUGAUUUAUCCUGGCCUUGCUGUUUUGAUGGCUGCAUGGGCAUGUAGUCCAGCAUCUUGCUGAAUAAAAAGGGAAAUUUCUGCAGCCUUGAGCAGAACAUUUCAAAUGUAACUUGUGUAAGGAGUCGCAGAGCCUGUCAGGGCCUGGACUUUAAGUGGGGGCAGACUGCACUGGAAAAGUGGCAUUAAAGUUUUGUUUACUUA